rnacentral:lncRNA from 1 species
CCAACAGUGAUUUUUCCUUCUCUAAUCAUUAACUUCGGCUCAAAAUUGGUAUGCACCUUGAUCUUCAAGUCCUUCAAGACCAUGCCAAAUUUUACCUUGAUCCAACUAAUAGAUCUCUAAAUGUCAUAGAAACCUUAUUCAACCUCAAACUACCAACUUCCGAUAUGUUCUUGUAAUAAAACCUAGAUAUCUCUCAAUUGCACUAUAAGAUUAUCACAAUAUUUUACAUACACUUAAAACACCUAAUUAUCUAAGUACUAUCAAUAUUUGAAUUGUAGAUGUAAUAUCAAUAUUAUGAACUAGCCAAGAGUACUAGUCCUAAUUUCAUUGCAUAAAUCCCAAGUUGCCAAUAUAAACCUUGACUUCCAACAAUAAUUGCUAACUCUCUCGAAAUCAUACCAAAAUCAACCUUAUAUAUCUAAAAUAAGCUUUAACUAGCUCUCAAAACUUCAUCUUUGAUGUCCAAAUGAAUCCCUAAUUUUUCCUAAGCAAUCAUUUUAAAGGCCAAAGGUCUAUUUUGAUUCUAUCUCACAAAUGGUCAACCCUUAAGUAUCAAUCUAAUCUAUCUUAAGAAUUUUUUAGCCCAAUUCUAUCUUUAACUUAAUUCUAAUAUCAACUAUAUUAAUUAUUUAUCU